AGGAGUUCAUUUUUUCGUUUUUUUAUGAGAUAGAGUUUGGGUAUAAGAUGCAUUCUGGCGCUAGCUGCCAAAAGUUGUGAGUGAGUGUACACAUUUUUUCUUUUUCACUUUUCUUUCCUUUUUUAAAAUCAUUUUUAUUUCUUGAAUUUUUAUUGAAAGAGAGAUAUGGAUAUGGAUAGUGAUCCAAGUGAAAUGUAUGUAUUGAUUGGUAACCCUUAAUCAUUUUGAUCCAAUGGCCAAUGAGAAAGCACAAAAUAGUAAGCAAAUUAGGAUUUCACAAUUAAAAUGCAAAUGCAAAAAAAAACCUUGGAUAGUUUUUGAUUAAAAAUGAAUUUAAAUGAAUUAAAUCAAAUCUUUUUUUUUUUAAAACAAAU
rnacentral:lncRNA from 1 species